UUCAGAUUUAUUUGGAGAAAACAAAAAACUACAACCCAAAGGAUGGGAUUUUACAUCUCAAGACAUCUCACAGGCCCCACCUCCCAAUACUGCCACAUUGGAGAUAAGUUUCUACAUGAAUUUCAGAAGGGACAAAACAUUCAAAGCAUAGCAGCAGGGAAGAAUGUGAAAACUCCAGGAAAUCAAGAAUGUCUCUCUGGCUUCCUCUCCCUCUCAGAGACCCAAAUUGGAACUGAAACCCUGAGUACAGCAAAACUGCAUUUCCCAAGCUCCUCGUCUCUCAAUGGGUCACAUGACUUGUUCUAGCCAAUAGAACAAGGGUGGAAGUAAUGCAACCACUUUCAGCUGGCCCCUAAAGUCUCCUGUGAGAUCUUCCAAUCUUGCUCUCCUCUCUCUGCAUGGCUGGAAGUGCAUACUCUGAUAUCUGAAACCACAUGAUGAAGGAGCCAGGACGCCUAAGUUCACCAC
rnacentral:lncRNA from 1 species